rnacentral:rRNA from 1 species
UGGGGAAUAUUGGACAAUGGGCGAAAGCCUGAUCCAGCCAUGCCGCGUGUGUGAAGAAGGUCUUCGGAUUGUAAAGCACUUUAAGUUGGGAGGAAGGGCAUUAACCUAAUACGUUAGUGUUUUGACGUUACCGACAGAAUAAGCACCGGCUAACUCUGUGCCAGCAGCCGCGGCAAUACAGAGGGUGCAAGCGUUAAUCGGACUUACUGGGCGUAAAGCGCGCGUAGGUGGUUUGUUAAGUUGGAUGUGAAAUCCCCGGGCUCAACCUGGGAACUGCAUUCAAAACUGACUGACUAGAGUAUGGUAGAGGGUGGUGGAAUUUCCUGUGUAGCGGUGAAAUGCGUAGAUAUAGGAAGGAACACCAGUGGCGAAGGCGACCACCUGGACUAAUACUGACACUGAGGUGCGAAAGCGUGGGGAGCAAACA